UACAGAGGUCCCGAGCGUUGUUCGGAUUCACUGGGCGUAAAGGGUGCGUAGGUGGCUUGGUAAGUUUGAUGUGAAAGCUCAGGGCUUAACCCUGAAAUGGCAUUGAAUACUACCGAGCUGGAGGUUUGGAGGGGGGACUGGAAUUCUUGGUGUAGCAGUGAAAUGCGUAGAUAUCAAGAGGAACACCAGUGGCGAAGGCGAGUCCCUGGACAACACCUGACACUGAGGCACGAAAGCUAGGGGAGCAAACAGG
rnacentral:rRNA from 1 species